GCCCUGGUGGCGGAAUUGGUAGACGCGCUAGAUUCAGGUUCUAGUGAAUGCAAGUUCGUGGAAGUUCGAAUCUUCUCCAGGGCACCA
rnacentral:tRNA from 1 species